GUGCUCACUUCAGCAGCACAUGUACUAAAAUUGGAACAAUACAGAGGAUAUUAGCAUGGCCCCUGUGUAAGGAUGACAUGCAAAUUUGUGAAGCGUUCCAUAUUUUU
ensembl:snRNA U6 U6 spliceosomal RNA